AGUGAACGCUGGCGGUAGGCCUAACACAUGCAAGUCGAACGGCAGCACAGUAAGAUCUUGCUCUUACGGGUGGCGAGUGGCGGACGGGUGAGGCAUACAUCGCAAUCUACUUUUUCGUGGGGGAUAACGUAGGGACACUUACGCUAAUACCGCAUACGACUUACGGCUGAAAGCAGUGGAUCUUCGGACCUUGCGCGAUUGAAUGAGCCGAUGUCGGAUUAGCUAGUUGGCGGGGUAAGGGCCCACCAAGGCGACGAUCCGUAGCUGGUCUGAGAGGAUGAUCAGCCACACUGGAACUGAGACACGGUCCAGACUCCUACGGGAGGCAGCAGUGGGGAAUAUUGGACAAUGGGCGCAAGCCUGAUCCAGCCAUACCGCGUGAGUGAAGAAGGCCUUCGGGUUGUAAAGCCCUUUUGUUGGGAAAGAAAAGCAGCAGGUUAAUACCCCGCUGUUCUGACGGUACCUAAAGAAAAAGCACCGGCUAACUUCGUG
rnacentral:rRNA from 1 species